GGGGGUGAAUGGUCUCGACUUCGUUCGUCGAGGCAGGGGAAGCGGGCCGAGGAAGGCAACGAUGACCUCGUUAACCACGCGUUGCAAAAAAAUCAAGCGCCGACAAUAGUCAGCGCGACUUCGCUCUCGCUGCGUAAGCGAGCCUGAAGUCCGUCAGACCGGGAGGGCCUCCGGCCCGGACCCUGGCGCCGCUAGGAGGAUCACCGUACGACCCGGUUGCGGGGACGUACGGGACACCAAACAGC
rnacentral:tmRNA from 1 species